rnacentral:rRNA from 1 species
ACGGGUGAGUAAUAUAUCGGAACGUGCCCAGUUGUGGGGGAUAGCCCGGCGAAAGCCGGAUUAAUACCGCAUACGACCUGAGGGUGAAAGCGGGGGAUCGCAAGACCUCGCGCAAUUGGAGCGGCCGAUAUCAGAUUAGCUAGUUGGUGGGGUAAAGGCCUACCAAGGCGACGAUCUGUAGCUGGUCUGAGAGGACGACCAGCCACACUGGGACUGAGACACGGCCCAGACUCCUACGGGAGGCAGCAGUGGGGAAUUUUGGACAAUGGGCGCAAGCCUGAUCCAGCCAUGCCGCGUGCGGGAAGAAGGCCUUCGGGUUGUAAACCGCUUUUGUCAGGGAAGAAACGGUCUGAACUAAUACUUUGGACUAAUGACGGUACCUGAAGAAUAAGCACCGGCUAACUACGUGCCAGCAGCCGCGGUAAUACGUAGGGUGCAAGCGUUAAUCGGAAUUACUGGGCGUAAAGCGUGCGCAGGCGGCUAUGCAAGACAGAUGUGAAAUCCCCGGGCUCAACCUGGGAACUGCAUUUGUGACUGCAUGGCUAGAGUACGGUAGAGGGGGAUGGAAUUCCGCGUGUAGCAGU